rnacentral:rRNA from 1 species
UACAGAGGUCUCAAUCGUUGUUCGGAUUCAUUGGGCGUAAAGGGUGUGUAGGUGGCGCGCUAAGUCAGGUGUGAAAUUUCGGAGCUUAACUCCGAAACUGCAUUCGAUACUGGCGUGCUUGAGGACUGGAGAGGAGACUGGAAUUCAUGGUGUAGCAGUGAAAUGCGUAGAGAUCAUGAGGAAGACCAGUGGCGAAGGCGGGUCUCUGGACAGUUCCUGACACUGAGACACGAAGGCCAGGGGAGCAAACGGG